GGGGGAUUAGCUCAGUUGGCUAGAGCGCCUGCUUUGCACGCAGGAGGUCAAGGGUUCGACUCCCUUAUUCUCCAC
rnacentral:tRNA from 3 species